rnacentral:rRNA from 1 species
CAGAACUAUCAGCCCCUCGCCUUGGCCCUCGAUGUGCGUGUCACUCCUGCCUCCCUCGACGAGAUCUUCUCCAUGCUCAGCAACUUCGACCAACGCAUGGCUCAGUUCCCCGGCUCUGGCAGUGGCGGCGGCUUCAAGUCAUCUGCAAACGCUGCCUCUUGGGGUCGUGGUGGUGGUUCUGGCUACCGUGGCUCUUCCCGCGGCAAAGGGCAGUCCUCAGGUGGAGGGCACGUGGUGGCAGCGAAGGGCGCUUGA